CUUGCUAGUGCGUUAAACAUUAAGGAUGGGGUUGUUGCUCCGGCUUUCAUGUGUAUGUAUACCAUAUAGUUCUUAUGCUAUAACCAUCUAUGUUCAAAGUCUGAAUGGACGUUUAGUUGAACUGGAUACAUUUUGUAAUUGAGGUUGCAAAUGAGCCGGAUUGACCUGUAAUGGGAUAUGGCCUGACUUGUUUAAAGCCGGUCCUAUCUAUUUUGAAAAAUCUAUGGGGU
rnacentral:lncRNA from 1 species